rnacentral:rRNA from 1 species
UACAGAGGGGGCAAGCGUUAUUCGGAAUUAUUGGGCGUAAAGGGCGCGUAGGCGGCCUGGCAAGUGACGGGUGAAAGCCCUCGGCUUAACCGAGGAACUGCCUGUCAGACUGUUAGGCUGAGACCGGGAGAGGUGAGUGGAAUUCCCAGUGUAGCGGUGGAAUGCGCAGAUAUCAGGAGGAACACCGAUAGCGAAGGCAGCUCGCUGGGACGGUACUGACGCUGAGGCGCGAAAGCGUGGGGAGCGAACAGG